rnacentral:rRNA from 1 species
UACGUAGGGGGGCAAGCGUUGUCCGGAUUUAUUGGGCGUAAAGAGCGUGUAGGCGGCCAGACAGGUCCGUUGUGAAAACUCGAGGCUCAACCUCGAGAUGUCGAUGGAAACCGUCUGGCUAGAGUCCGGAAGAGGAGUGUGGAAUUCCUGGUGUAGCGGUGAAAUGCGCAGAUAUCAGGAAGAACACCUAUGGCGAAGGCAGCACUCUGGGACGGUACUGACGCUGAGACGCGAAAGCGUGGGAGCGAACAGG